GACGAACGCUGGCGGCGUGCUUAACACAUGCAAGUCGAACGGAAAGGCCCUUCGGGAUACUCGAGUGGCGAACGGGUGAGUAACACGUGGGUGAUCUGCCCUGCACUUUGGGAUAAGCCUGGGAAACUGGGUCUAAUACCGAAUAGGACCACGCGCUUCAUGGUGUGUGGUGGAAAGCUUUUGCGGUGUGGGAUGGGCCCGCGGCCUAUCAGCUUGUUGGUGGGGUAAUGGCCUACCAAGGCGACGACGGGUAGCCGGCCUGAGAGGGUGACCGGCCACACUGGGACUGAGAUACGGCCCAGACUCCUACGGGAGGCAGCAGUGGGGAAUAUUGCACAAUGGGCGCAAGCCUGAUGCAGCGACGCCGCGUGAGGGAUGACGGCCUUCGGGUUGUAAACCUCUUUCAAUAGGGACGAAGCGUGAGUGACGGUACCUAUAGAAGAAGCACCGGCCAACUACGUGCCAGCAGCCGCGGUAAUACGUAGGGUGCGAGCGUUGUCCGGAAUUACUGGGCGUAAAGAGCUCGUAGUGGUUUGUCGCGUUGUUCGUGAAAACUCACAGCUUAACUGUGGGCGUGCGGGCGAUACGGGCAGACUAGAGUACUGCAGGGGAGACUGGAAUUCCUGGUGUAGCGGUGGAAUGCGCAGAUAUCAGGAGGAACACCGGUGGCGAAGGCGGGUCUCUGGGCAGUAACUGACGCUGAGGAGCGAAAGCGUGGGAAGCGAACAGGAUUAGAUACCCUGGUAGUCCACGCCGUAAACGGUGGGUACUAGGUGUGGGUUCCUUCCUUGGGAUCCGUGCCGUAGCUAACGCAUUAAGUACCCCGCCUGGGGAGUACGGCCGCAAGGCUAAAACUCAAAGGAAUUGACGGGGGCCCGCACAAGCGGCGGAGCAUGUGGAUUAAUUCGAUGCAACGCGAAGAACCUUACCUGGGUUUGACAUGCACAGGACGCCGGCAGAGAUGUCGGUUCCCUUGUGGCCUGUGUGCAGGUGGUGCAUGGCUGUCGUCAGCUCGUGUCGUGAGAUGUUGGGUUAAGUCCCGCAACGAGCGCAACCCUUGUCCUAUGUUGCCAGCGGGUUAUGCCGGGGACUCGUAGGAGACUGCCGGGGUCAACUCGGAGGAAGGUGGGGAUGACGUCAAGUCAUCAUGCCCCUUAUGUCCAGGGCUUCACACAUGCUACAAUGGCCGGUACAAAGGGCUGCGAUGCCGUGAGGUGGAGCGAAUCCUUUCAAAGCCGGUCUCAGUUCGGAUCGGGGUCUGCAACUCGACCCCGUGAAGUCGGAGUCGCUAGUAAUCGCAGAUCAGCAACGCUGCGGUGAAUACGUUCCCGGGCCU
rnacentral:rRNA from 1 species